rnacentral:rRNA from 1 species
UACGGAGGAUCCAAGCGUUGUCCGGAUUUAUUGGGUUUAAAGGGUGCGUAGGCGGAUCUUUAAGUCAGUGGUGAAGGCCUGCAGCUUAACUGUAGAACAGCCAUUGAAACUGAAGAUCUUGAAUGUGGUUAAAGUAGGCGGAAUGUAUCAUGUAGCGGUGAAAUGCUUAGAUAUGAUACAGAACACCGAUAGCGAAGGCAGCUUGCUGAACCAUUAUUGACGCUGAGGCACGAAAGCGUGGGGAGCGAACAGG